GUCCUUUUCAAGCACAGGCUGUGGAGCCAGAGUCAACGGUGUAAAAUAUAAUCAAAAAUGAACCUAAGACAUUCAUCCUACACAGAAAUGGCUGCUGGCUGAGUGACCCAAUGCUACACUGAUGGAGACAUACAGACUGCGGCCAGGGUCUAAAUCUCCUAUUUCCAAAAUCAUCUCAAGGGCUUAAAGUGCAUGUUCCCAGGAAAAGAGAGAAGAAAAGAUAUAACAGGAGAAUGACAAAGAAUGUCAAUGGCCUCAGCUAUUAGAACCUCAGCCUGAUUCAGUUAUCCACUUGUGGCAGUAAAGGCAAAUGACCUUUGAAAAAUGCUGAUAUUCUUCUGAUUUUUCUCCGGAUCUAAAUAUAACAUCUGGGAACAUGAAAUUAAAAAUUUAC